ACUGUACUUCCUUCGUCUGGAAAUACUUGUCGUAAAAAUGGAUACAAAUAGAUGUAUCUAGAAUUAAAAUACAUUUAGAUACAUCCAUUCCUUGGACAAGUAUUUUCGGACGGAGUGAGUAUUUG
rfam:Triticum aestivum genome assembly, contig: Triticum_aestivum_CS42_TGACv1_scaffold_604776_7DL